rnacentral:rRNA from 1 species
UCGUGGAGGUCCGAACCCACGAGCGUUGAAAAGCUCGGGGAUGACUUGUGGGUAGCGGUGAAAUUCCAAUCGAGCCCGGAGAUAGCUGGUUCUCCCCGAAAUAGCUUUAGGGCUAGCCUCAAGGUGAGAGAUACGGAGGUAGAGCACUGAAUGUCCUAGGGGGUAUUGCACCUACCGAAGACUAUCAAACUCCGAAUGCCGUCAUCUUAUACUUGGGAGUCAGACUGUGGGUGAUAAGAUUCAUAGUCGAAAGGGCAACAGCCCAGAUCGUCAGCUAAGGUCCCUAAAUGUAAGUUAAGUGGUAAAGGAUGUGGGAUUGCACAGACAACCAGGAUGUUGGCUUAGAAGCAGCCACUCAUUCAAAGAGUGCGUAAUAGCUCACUGGUCGAGUGAUCCUGCGCCGAAGAUUUCCGGGGCUAAAACUUACUACCGAAGCUACGGCAUCAGUAAUGAUGGGUAGGGGAGCUUCCCAUA